GGACUACCGGGGUUUCUAAUCCUGUUCGUUACACAAUGCCUUCGUCCCUCAACGUCAGUUUUUACAUAGAGGUUUGCCUUUGCCUUUACCCGUCCAAAAGAUAUCAAAAGAUUUUAUCCUUACACCUUCGGUUCUUUAUUUUCCUCCUACAUAUAAAACUCUAGCUAUUCCAUUACUUCUCCUUUAAAAGAGUAAGAUAAAGCCGUCUAGGUACCCUUUAAACCUAAUAAAGAUGAAUAACACUAGUCUCCUUUGUCUUACCGCGGCUGCUGGCAC
rnacentral:rRNA from 1 species